rnacentral:rRNA from 1 species
GAUUCCUGGCUCAGGACGAACGCUAGCGGCGCGCCUAACACAUGCAAGUCGAACGAGCGAGAGAGAGCUUGCUUUCUCAAGCGAGUGGCGAACGGGUGAGUAACGCGUGAGGAACCUGCCUCAAAGAGGGGGACAACAGUUGGAAACGACUGCUAAUACCGCAUAAGCCCACAGCUCGGCAUCGAGCAGAGGGAAAAGGAGCAAUCCGCUUUGAGAUGGCCUCGCGUCCGAUUAG